GACGAACGCUGGCGGCGUGCUUAACACAUGCAAGUCGAGCGGAGCGGCGAACGGGUGAGUCACGCGUGAGUAACUGCCCCCCUCUCUGGGAUAUCAGUUGGAAACGGCUGCUAAUACCGGAUAGUGGGGGAUGACUCGCGUCCUAUCAGCUUGUUGGUGGGGUAGUGGCCUACCAAGGCGACGACGGGUAGCCGGCCUGAGGGGGCGACAGACCACAUUGGGAUGAGAUAAGGCCCAAAAGCCUACGGGAGGCAGCAGGGGAGAAUAAUGGACACGGGGAGAAACCCUGAUGGAACGACGCCGCGUAAGGGAUGACGGCCGGCGGGUUGUAAACCGAUUUCAGCCAUGACGCGGUUGUGGAAGAAGAAGCGCCGGCUAAGUAUGUGCCAGCAGCCGCGGUAAUAC
rnacentral:rRNA from 1 species